rnacentral:lncRNA from 1 species
CAUCAAAUGCUGGCAUUCGUUUGUUGACUCCACUGCUGCUUGUAUUAUUGUUUUCUUCAUUUGUAAGACCUCAGCAAAGUCUACCUCAUAAACAUCACUUUCUUUCAAGAAGCUCAAACGGUAUGCCCUUGCAUCCAUUCCUGCAGGUAAGUAAAUUAUUUUGAUUAAAAUUUUGUUUACCCUUGUAAUCUCACUGACUGUUUUUUUUUUGGGGGGGGAGGGGUGUGGGGGAAGAAAAUAAUUAAAUUUUCUAAAGUGGGGGAUGCUAGGGCCUCUGUUACACUCAUCCAUAUGCAAGUUGUGUCAUAGACACUUCAUUGUCAAAUAUAAGAGCCAUUUAUUGCAAGAACCAUUUUGAUGAGCCAUGGUCCAAAAGUUAAUAUAUUGGACUUAAAUUGUUCAUGUAUUACUUCAUUUCUUUCAAAAAGGUUUUUUGUGCUACUCUUUUAUGCACUUUUGUUAGGAAUUUUAUUUAUUUAUCAAUUCUGGACCUGGUGUUUACCUUGUGCAGUAACAGUCUGAGGUUGACAUGGUCAUAUUCUGGAAAAGGAGGCAAUUACCAAACUAGAAUAAUGCCUUGUUAAUAUACAUGACUUUAGCUUAUAGUACCACAGUAAGCCAUUUUGUAAUGGCAACAUAUUACCACUCCCUCUGUCCCGAAAACAAAAAAAGUCCUAUUUGCAAUUUAUGAUUUUGAAAAAAUAAUUCCCAUUUAUUCUGAUGGUAGUAUAAAAAUAAUAAUGUCCUCAGGUUUAAAAGUUUGUAAAUUUUGCAAAUGAGACCUGUUUUAUAAUGGAACAGAGGGAGUACGAUUAGGAGAUCAAACUAAGGAUCUAUGCAGUGUAAAAGGCAUGCAGCUCAAGGAAUUAUGCCGAGAUCUGCUGUCAGUUUAUACAGUUAAUUACACACUGGAACCAGCAGCAAACAAAACUGAACCAUAGAUAUGCAAAAUUUUGUUAUAGUCUGCUGUGUAUCCAAAGAUGACGAAAAUGAAUAUUCCCCUCUUGCGGCAUUAGUUCAAUAUAUACAUGCUAGGAACAAAAAUGCAAGAAAGAAUAGUCACCAACCUGCACCAAGAAGAACAACUUGUGCUGCUCCACUAAACGAAUCAACAGCAGCUUCAAGUUUAGUAUCAAACCAGAGAGUUCGAACAGCAAGAAUGACACCAGAGACUUCUCUGGCAUUGUUUAACCUGUCCUUUUCUAUUUUCUCAUACAGGCUUUUCAGGUACGUCUCUCCCGCGAGUAAACCAGCUAGUGGGUCAUGGAUCACAUGCUUCCACAAUGCUCUUCCGGCCGCUGUCUGACACGCUGACCGCCGCAGAGAAUCCCAAUCCUUUUCAAUGGCUGCAUGGAGUUCUUGGACAGUGUCAGUAUAAGGUAAGUCAGGUUCUGGCCAUUCCUCUGGCUGGCCGAUUUCUUCUUCUGGCAUGUUUAAGUUGUUGAUUUUACGGAAUUUAGAAAAAUAAUAGAAGGGAAUAAAGUAAGUGAUAAUGCAUGCCAAUAUAUGGAAGAAUGAAUGAGUGUUUUUGGAGAUACAAAGUACUGUAGGAAGGGGAUAAGGAAAAGAGAGCCACACACAAAACCAACGUCUGAGAAAAUUGUGCAACCGUAUCCAGCUAGCUUCUUUACCUUAGUGAAAAUGAAGGUCUUUCUUUCCCCUCUCUAACUAAUUAUGCAUGCGUUUUUGCAAGUGAGAAAGGAAAAGAAAAAAAAGAGAGGCGUGUGGGUCCCACCAUGUCUACUUUAUGAUUGAAUUGACAAUCUAUACUUUGUAAAUCACCAACUACAGAACAGAUACUAGUGUUUUGUUUUCCUGUUUAUUUAUAGCCACCUUAUCUUAUAAAGCCUCUCACAGAUUUUAUGUGCUGCAGGUUCACCAAAGACCAAACUGGAAAGGGCUUUUAUGGUGGUUGGGGAUAUUAUGGAUUUUUGUUGGGGGGCCGCACUGCUCAUAAGCUCGAACGGAUUAGAGCUUCCUGUCCGUCCCUGCUGCUUGAGAUAAGGUGAAACUAUUUGGCAGGUCUAAGGUCCAACUGCUUUGGAACUACUAUUCCUUGGAGAGGAGAAUAGCAGCAGGAAAUAUACCAACCCUCACCAAUUGCCCGCCCUGCUCGCUACUGAUUGCAGGAAAUACAUACUCCUUUCCUUUCAAGACUCGUAUCAUAUUUUGCCAAAAUUCAUCCGUUAUAAAUUAAUAAUAUAUAUUACUAUUAAAUUACAAAAAUUACUUUAAAAUCAAAAUUAUUAUAAAUUUAUUUAUUUAUUUAUUGUUAAUACCCUUUUACACCU